UACGGGGGGGGCAAGCGUUGUUCGGAAUUACUGGGCGUAAAGGGCUUGUAGGUGGCCAACUAAGUCAGACGUGAAAUCCCUCGGCUUAACCGGGGAACUGCGUCUGAUACUGGAUGGCUAGAGUUUGGGAGAGGGAUGCGGAAUUCCAGGUGUAGCGGUGAAAUGCGUAGAUAUCUGGAGGAACACCGGUGGCGAAGGCGGCAUCCUGG
rnacentral:rRNA from 1 species